UAUACCCGAGUACACUUCAU
rnacentral:miRNA from 1 species